rnacentral:rRNA from 1 species
AGAGUUUGAUCAUGGCUCAGGAUGAACGCUAGCGGCAGGCUUAACACAUGCAAGUCGAGGGGUAACAGAGUAGCUUGCUACUGCUGACGACCGGCGCACGGGUGCGUAACGCGUAUACAAUCUACCUUAUACUGGGGUAUAGCCUUUAGAAAUGAAGAUUAACCCCCCAUAGUCUCUAAGAGUGGCAUCACAUUUAGAGUAAAGGUUACGGUAUAAGAUGAGUAUGCGUUCUAUUAGUUUGUUGGUGAGGUAACGGCUUACCAAGACUACGAUAGAUAGGGGCCCUGAGAGGGGGAUCCCCCACACUGGUACUGAGACACGGACCAGACUCCUACGGGAGGCAGCAGUGAGGAAUAUUGGACAAUGGAGGCAACUCUGAUCCAGCCAUGCCGCGUGUAGGAUGACUGCCCUAUGGGUUGUAAACUACUUUUAUACAGGAAGAAACACCUCUACGUGUAGAGGCUUGACGGUACUGUAAGAAUAAGGAUCGGCUAACUCCGUGCCAGCAGCCGCGGUAAUACGGAGGAUCCAAGCGUUAUCCGGAAUCAUUGGGUUUAAAGGGUCCGUAGGUGGAUAAUUAAGUCAGAGGUGAAAUCUUGCAGCUCAACUGUAAAAUUGCCUUUGAAACUGGUUAUCUUGAGUUAUUAUGAAGUAGUUAGAAUAUGUAGUGCAGCGGUGAAAUGCAUAGAUAUUACAUAGAAUACCAAUUGCGAAGGCAGAUUACUAAUAAUCAACUGACACUGAUGGACGAAAGCGUGGGUAGCGAACAGGAUUAGAUACCCUGGUAGUCCACGCCGUAAACGAUGGUUACUAGCUGUUUGGACUUCGGUCUGAGUGGCUAAGCGAAAGUGAUAAGUAACCCACCUGGGGAGUACGUUCGCAAGAAUGAAACUCAAAGGAAUUGACGGGGGCCCGCACAAGCGGUGGAGCAUGUGGUUUAAUUCGAUGAUACGCGAGGAACCUUACCAGGGCUUAAAUGUAAGUUGCAUUAGUUAGAGAUAGCUAUUUCUUCGGACCACUUACAAGGUGCUGCAUGGUUGUCGUCAGCUCGUGCCGUGAGGUGUCAGGUUAAGUCCUAUAACGAGCGCAACCCCUGUUGUUAGUUGCCAGCGAGUCAUGUCGGGAACUCUAACAAGACUGCCAGUGCAAACUGUGAGGAAGGUGGGGAUGACGUCAAAUCAUCACGGCCCUUACGUCCUGGGCUACACACGUGCUACAAUGGUAGGGACAGAGAGCAGCCACUGGGCGACCAGGAGCGAAUCUAUAAACCCUAUCACAGUUCGGAUCGGAGUCUGCAACUCGACUCCGUGAAGCUGGAAUCGCUAGUAAUCGGGUAUCAGCCAUGAUCCGGUGAAUACGUUCCCGGGCCUUGUACACACCGCCCGUCAAGCCAUGGAAGUUGGAAGUGCCUGAAGUCCGUCACCGCAAGGAGCGGCCUAGGGUAAAGUCGAUAACUAGGGCUAAGUCGUAACAAGGUA